rnacentral:lncRNA from 1 species
GGCCUGGCCUAUGGGUUGGAGGACCUCUGAGCAUCCCUUAGAAUAUGGAUCAGCACUUGCUUCUCCCUUCCUUCCAUCAGCCAAGAGUCAGUGGGCUGCCUCGUCUACUCUUCUGUCCUUACAAAAAUGGCCACUGUCAUUUCAGCAGGAGUUUGCGUGGGAGAGGCAAUAACUGGCAUGAACUUCAUCUGUCACGUUCACGGAAACCCCUUUUAUUUUACCAAGGAUUUGAAAAUUUUCUGUGACGGCUGUUACAAUAGCAUACCUAAAUUAUUUAAAGAUUAUGCAGAAGUAUCUGGUAUUUAUAGAUUAGGGGAACUUGUACGAUCCACUUAAGUCCCCUCUCCCUUCCUACGAGGCGGCCUUUGAAGCAGAGCGUCAGAGCGAACGACGUAUUCACAUGUCCUGGUGCCCUGCCUGGUCUGCACGCGUGUCUGUUCACAUUUUCCUCUUUCUCCUCGCUGUCAUGCAGAAAAUCCGGCUCAGCCCGAGAGGGGCUGCUGUUUGGUGAGUCUCCUCACUACGGCUGUCUUGAGUCUCUCGGUGCGUGUUUGCCAGCGUCUCAUCACUGUAGCGGUUUUCUUCUGGAUGGAACCAAGAAAAGAUGUCCCUGCCGACUCAGGCUCAGGAAAUCCUGCCUGGGCCUUCCUGGCUCUUGGGCCGGGUGGGAAAAAGAGGCCUGUGUGUGCCAUCACUGAUCCCCUCAAGACCUCGCGCCUGACACAGCCAUCAUUUCCUCCUCCUGUGCCUCCCUCUGCUCCUGCUGUAGAUGAUCCAGGCUGGGUCUUAGACGGUAAAAGUGACCUCCACGUGGUUUGUCCUCAGUGCCGCCUUCCCAGCCAUUUGGUCAUAUUUUAACUUUGCCAAAUGCUCGAUAUGUGUCACUUGGUGCAGUGUACCUGUAAUCCCUCCUACUCAGGAGGCCGAAGCAGGAGUAAGGCAAGUUUGAGGCAGAUGAAACUCCACCUCAAAAAGCAGAAAAAGGUCAGAAGAUACAGCUUAUGGCUCAGUGCAAGGCCUGGGUUACAUGGGUGCAGGGACCAAAAACUCUUGAGAAGGAAGACCAUGGCAAAUGCAAAGACCCAGCCCAC